AUUGAACGCUGGCGGCAGGCCUAACACAUGCAAGUCGAGCGAGCGGCGGACGGGUGAGUAAUGUCUGGGAAACUGCCUGAUGGAGGGGGAUAACUACGGGAAAAGGUAGCUCAUACCGCAUACCAUCAGAUGUGCCCCGAUGGGAUUAGAUAGUAGGUGGGGUAAUGGCUCACCUAGGCGACGAUCUCUAGCUGGUCUGAGAGGAUGACCAGCCACACUGGAACUGAGACACGGUCCAGACUCCUACGGGAGGCAGCAGUGGGGAAUAUUGCACAAUGGGCGCAACCCUGAUGCAGCCAUGCCGCGUGUGUGAAGAAGGCCUUCGGGUUGUAAAGCACUUUCAGCGAGGAGGCGUUACUCGCAGAAGAAGCACCGGCUAACUCCGUGCCAGCAGCCGCGGUAAUUC
rnacentral:rRNA from 1 species